rnacentral:rRNA from 1 species
UACGGAGGGUGCGAGCGUUGUCCGGAAUCACUGGGCGUAAAGGGCGCGUAGGCGGCCUGAUAAGUAGGGGGGUGAAAUCCUGCGGCUUAACCGCAGGGCUGCCUUCUAAACUGUCAGGCUCGAGCACAGUAGAGGCAGGUGGAAUUCCCGGUGUAGCGGUGGAAUGCGUAGAGAUCGGGAAGAACAUCGGUGGCGAAGGCGGCCUGCUGGGCUGUUGCUGACGCUGAGGCGCGACAGCGUGGGGAGCAAACGGG